CCUAUUAUAAGAAAAAAACACAUUGAAAAAUUGAGAACAUGAGCAAAAGCAAAUAUGAGCUCACCUUUUUAUUUUAUUAUUUUUUUCUUUUGCAGUGCUGGAAAUUGAACAGCAGGCUCUGCCUAUGCCAGGAGACAACUUACCACUGAGGCAUACUUCUGGCCAACUUUAACAUCAUUCUCUCUUCUUCCUUUUUUUUCAGACAAAGUCUAUUAUGUAGCUCUGGUUGUCUUGUAACUUGGUAUGUAGACCAAGCUGGCCUCCAAUUCAGAGAUCCUUCUGACUCCGAGUACUGGGAUUAAAGGUUAGUGUACCCCACGCCCAGCUCACAUUAAUUUUCUCGCGCGCGCGCGUGUGUGUGUGUGUGUGUAGGGAGUGGGGCAGGACUUGUCAUGUAUACUAGCUGGUCAUGUAUACUCUUUACGGUCAUUCUUCUGAGUGUGUCUCUACCUCUCCAGUGCUGAGAUUAUGCUAAGCCACAACAUAAGGCUUUCCUUUUUCUUUUUUUAACAAUAGUCUUUACUAUGUUCCCCAGGCUGGAAAUUAAACUUGUAAUGUUCAUGCCUCAGCCCCCAGCCUCCCAAGUGGUACAAUGACAGGCAAGAACCACAUGCCUGACUUAAUUCACACAUCCUCAAGAAGGGGAACACUCAUGUGGGAGAAGAAGGCAGGGGAAGAGGACAAGGUGAGUUAAUAAAGACGGACAUUGUUUUGGUAGACGUCUUUGAAGAAGAGCAAGCUGUUGGAGAGGAAGGCAACAUGAGCAAUGCUAAUGCUAAAGUGGAGUGGAAGGAUCUGGAAGACAACGGCGGGAAUCUGGAGAAGUAGGAAGAGACAAAUCAGACAAGAGGCUUACUCAGUUAAGGUUAGAGACCAUUUUUUCCAGCACUGUUCACUAGGAGUAAAGAGUUGCAAUAAUUCCAAGAUGAAGGCUGUUCUUAAAUACAAGUAGGACCCCUCUACGCAAGAACAGACAUAACAAGGCUGAGGCUAAGAUGGAAAUCAGAACUAUGGUAAUACACUGGAAGGGAUGGAGGAGCUGAGCCUUGGAGGGAGGCCUGGAGAGUCAGACAGCACAGUGUUUGCAGACAACAGGACUAAGGCUUCAGUGCCGAGGAGGUUCUGGACGAUGCCAAUAUACUUCAGCAGACGGACACAAGUGACCAGGUCACUUGUUCUCCUAAUGAAGCACAGCAGUGUACAGUUGCCAUAUGAUGGAAAAAAUAAUAAGAAACUUUGAGAAAUAUGUUCAACACAUUAUGUUUCAAAAUAUGGUUAUGUUUUAUUAGUGUGCGAUUCUCAUUACCAAUAAAACUUAUAAGCACAAA